rnacentral:rRNA from 1 species
CUCGUAGUUGGAUUUCUGGCAGGAGCGACCGGUCACGCACUCUGUGUGUGAACUUGUGUUGUCUCUGGCCAUCCUUGGGGAGAUCCUGUUUGGCAUUAAGUUGUCGGGCAGGGGAUACCCAUCGUUUACUGUGAAAAAAUUAGAGUGUUUAAAGCAGGCUUAUGCCGUUGAAUAUAUUAGCAUGGAAUAAUAAGAUAGGACUUCGGAACUAUUUUGUUGGUUUGCGUUACGAAGUAAUGAUUAAUAGGGACAGUUGGGGGUAUUCGUAUUUCGUUGUCAGAGGUGAAAUUCUUGGAUUUCCGAAAGACGAACUACUGCGAAAGCAUUUACCAA